rnacentral:rRNA from 1 species
GCAAUAUCCCGAGUAAAGUGGCGCACGGGUGAGUAACACGUAGGCAAUCUGCCUUCAGGACGGGGAUAAUUUCGCGAAAGCGGGACUAAUACCCGAUUAUGCAGCGGCACCGCAUGGUGACAGUUGUUAAAAGCCGCAAGGCGCCUGGAGAUGAGCCUGCGUCCCAUUAGGUAGUUGGCGGGGUAACGGCCCACCAAGCCCGCGAUGGGUAGCUGGUCUGAGAGGAUGGCCAGCCACACUGGAACUGAGACACGGUCCAGACUCCUACGGGAGGCAGCAGUGAGGAAUAUUGCGCAAUGGCCGAAAGGCUGACGCAGCGACGCCGCGUGAGGGAUGAAGUCCGUUAGGAUGUAAACCUCUUUUGCAGGGGAUGAAGCUGCCGCUACAGGCGGCAGUCGACCGUACCCUGCGAAUAAGGGUCGGCUAACUACGUGCCAGCAGCCGCGGUAAUACGUAGGACCCGAGCGUUGUCCGGAUUUACUGGGUGUAAAGGGCGUGUAGGUGGGCGCCUAAGUCGAUGGUGAAAUCCUGCGGCUCAACCGUAGAAUUGCCGUCGAUACUGGGCGUCUUGAGUACGGCAGAGGGAGAUGGGAUUCAUGGUGUAGCGGUGAAAUGUGUAG